UCAAGAAACUUCCACAAUGGGCGAAAGCCUGAUGGAGCGACGUCGCGUGAUGGACGAAGUGCUUCGGCACGUAAACAUCUUUUAUGUGGGAUGAAAUUAUUGACAGUACCACAUGAAUAAGGGGCUCCUAACUCUGUGCCAGCAGGAGCGGUAAUACAGAGGCCCCAAGCGUUAUCCGGAAUCACUGGGCGUAAAGGGUGUCGAGGCGGUUGUAUUAGUCGUUCGUAAAAUCUACGAGCUUAACUUGUAGGCGGCGAACGAAACGGUACGACUUGAGGUUUGGAGAGGUGCGUGGAACUCACGGUGUAGGGGUGAAAUCCGUUGAUAUCGUGGGGAACACCAAAGGCGAAGGCAGUGCACUGGUACAUUCCUGACUCUGAGAUGCGAAAGCGUGGGGAGCAAAAAGGAUUAGAUACCCCCGUAGUCCCUGAGCGGGCUGGCAAGGCGCAU
rnacentral:rRNA from 1 species